UUGGUGAUAAACAUCUUUAUAUACAUAAUAACGAUUUAACUACUGGGCUUUAAAAUAUGCCUGGGAGCAUCGAUAUACUGAUAGUAGAUAAAAUUAACGACAUCCCGUAUGUAUGGGCAGGCUCAUAUAAACAUCCAGUAAUUAUCUACUUAGUCAGUGGUGGGGUAUCAAUUAAAUUUCACACGUAAAAAUUACCGUAACACCAUAUGUUAUUACAGUCGUCAAAUGAAUGACGGCAAUAACAUAUUAUUAUUAUAUAAAUAUUAUUAAUAAUAAACAUGGGCAUGUAUACUGUCAGUCAGUCAGUCACUCAUGGGACUGGUUUGUUAUUAAUCAAUUUCAUGUUUAAGUGGUGGAUGACCUCAGUGAUUUUCAGGAAACAGCAGUGUAUUACGAUCUCGCUAAAUCCUUUGAUCGUAUGAUUGAUAAGCUUCAAUUAUGAAUACAUACCACAGGACUAGAUUAAAUAAUGAACGAGUGACACAAAACCUUGUAUUGGAAUAUAUGAUACAUCACAGGAAUGAUAUAAUAGAAUGAUUUUUGCUGAUUUAAAUAAUAUAUAAAAAACGUUAAAAGUGUUAAGAAUUUUUGAAAUAAUGGCAUUUUUAAGUAGCGGUUCUUAAGGCCAUCCCCCAUUUAAAUGUCCGAUAAUUAGUACAAUUUUGAUAGAAAUUUGGGGUGAUAAAUAGUACAAAUUAAUGGCUUAAUAGAAUUUUGGUACAUGUAAAACAUUGAAUUAGAAACACCUUGUGCGUGGCCAGACCAUUUCCUCCAAUUAUCACAAAUAUUGGAUUUAAUAUAAAAAUGGGUGACAAACAAUACCAAAUAUUAUAAUAGAAUUUUGUAUUAUUUAAAAUAUUCUAUUAAAAUCAAUUACUAAUCUUAACCACAAAAACACUGUUAAAUUUUAGGGUUCGAUGGAGAUUCAAUCAACGUGACUUAGUUUAGAUUAAGUUAGGUUAGGUUAUAAUACUAGUUUGAUUGACAUACAUAUUUUCUUAGGUUGAGAUUUACUAUAUCCAGAUAACUGUGAAGAAUUUUAAGAAAAAAUAAGAUUGCAUGUCAUCUGCAUAUGCCUAAGUAUAAACUAGAAAUAAUAUCAGGGCUCUGAGGUACUCCAGAAUUAAUCUCCACUUUUCAUUACUCAUCUAAAACCCAUACUAUUAAUAAUUAUUAUUACUAUUGUUAGUUAUUUUUUAAUAAAACAACAAACAGUACAUGUAAUGACGCGACAUUAAUUGCGCAACAUGUUUACAAUUUUCGCAGCAUCAAUAGUUUGUUCCAGAAAUUGAUAAGAUUGUUGUCAUCACGAGUGGUACUACUUUCACGUUUCUCGUACGUAAAUAUCAUGUUUAUCCAGCGAACGUAAAUAUUUUCGCUUUCAAAAAAAGCGUCAUCAUUAGGAUGUAGUAAGAUUAAGCAAAAAAACACUGUACGUCGUUGUCGGAAAAGAAAAAUCAAGGGCAACUAACUGAAGAAAAAUGUUAAUUUUUUACUUCCUCCAGCUCGCAGCGAAACAAGGUAUAAAAACGAUAUUAGGCAACCAAUGGCUGUGCUACAGGUUUUAUUCGACAUAAGAAAACACAAUAAUUCUUCUAAUAACUUCCUUUAUGUGAAGGUUUACAGUUUUUAUCCACCUUUAAUAUAUCCGGUGUUGUUUUACGUGUGACACCAAACUUGUUUAUCCAGCAGCGCCAUCUUGAGCCACUGAUUUAUGACCUACCCCCGAAAUUUCACUAAUUACUCCAAUCAAAACAAUAUUAAAGGCAAUGGGCGUAAAAGGGUAUCUGAAGGCGGAACAAAAGGGCCGCUGAAAAAGGGCAAGAACGGAAGUACCGGAAAUAAAAACUGACGAGACACUUAUCUUGGGACUCUAAAUCAGUUCUAUUGUACACGGCUCAAUAGGGAGGAAGUGAAUUCAUGAUGCAGGCUCGCACUUUUGAAUAAUAUUUAUGUAUACAUGGGUUGGACUUAGUAGAAUUGUUGGAAAAUUUAUUGAAUAUUUGCAAGGGCUUAUUUAAAAUCAAAGCAACAAUAAGACCAAACCGUUUUUCUUUAAAAAAGAUAUAUAGGGUCAAAGUUGAGUCAUUUGAAUUCGUUAAAAGAAGUUUUUUUCAGUUUCAUAAAAAAAAUUUUUAUUAACUUAAAUGAUUGCUGUUUUUACAAAAAUUGUUCAAAAUUGUCCCCAUUUGUUCAAUUAACACGAAUCUUUACAAGCUUCGAAAAUAAAAUCCUGGUGUCCACGAAUUAAAUUACAAGAAUUUUGUGCUCUUGUUAGUGCUUCUGGAGUAUUGACUGCUUCAUCAUGAAAGACAAACUCGUUUAAAUAGCCCCACAGAAAAAAAUCACAAGGCGCUAAAUCUGGGUAUCGAGGAGGCCAAUAAAUGGGUCCAUCUAUUCGGAAACUCAUUAUUCAUGAACUUCUCGUCUAAAAUGUGGUGGAGCCUUAUCAUGUAGGAACCACAUAUUCUGUCUCACAUAAUUUUAAUAAUUGUGGCAGGUCGUGUCGAAGAAAAUCUAAAUAAAUUUCACCAGUCAGUCGAGGUGUAUACCAAUAAACGUGCCAUUUAUAGGUCCAAUAAGCAGACUUGGGAUAAGUCAUAGGAACUUACCUCCAGAGGAUCGAAUUGCUCUUAACAAGGAAUAGGUAUAUAUUUUCCAUGAUAAGUUCUAAACUAUCAACGAUAAUUAAAAACGAUUAUCAACAUCUCCUAACAUAAUGUCUAAGGAUAUUUAUUAGGGCUAUGAAACGCUUUAAUAGACUACGAUUUCCUAGACUUAUACCAAGUCAUGGGGACCUACUUCCAAAGGAUCGAGUUGCUCUUAACUGGGAAGAGGUAAAUAUUUUCAAACAUGAUUGUUGUGGAAAUUUUGCACUUCAUCUCUCCUAAAUGUGACCUUAUCUGUAAACAAAGUUAAUAUCGUAAAAUCUUCAUUGAUGCCGAACUGUUCUAAAAGACAACUGACAAAAUACAACUCUUCUAGGAUGAUCUUCAAGUUGUAACGCUUGUACCCGUUGAUAUAAUGAUAAGGAUAAUACUGUUCUUAUCGUAUUGUCUUUCACUAUGAGAAACAAUUUGAGCUGCUAUGGCUCUAGUACUCAUUGUUCGGUCAUUUCUAGAAUGCCUUCCUCAAUUUGCAACAUUUUCAGCCUGAUAUCCUCGUUGUUAUUUUAAAUACCGAAGUCCAAUGAUGACAUUUACAAACAUACGAGGAACUGGAUGAUUUCUUAAAGGAAACCUCCAUAGGUAAGAAUUAGGUCCACUAGUUUAUUGCUUUCAUAGACAUGAAUCAUUUUUCUGCGCAAAAUAAUCAGACAAAUGAAGUACGCAUUAUUAAAAGACUAUACAAUAAAAAAAAUCUUAUCUUUCAAGUUUUUUUUAUUAUGCAACUUUUAUAUAGAUGAUUUUUAGUAUAUCAACUCCUUUUAACAAGCCCUACAAGCAGUGAAAACACCUUGUAUAAUUAAAAUGUCAAAUGUUAAAUCCGGUACUGGUCGUCCUGGAGACUAUGCAUCAUCAGCAAAAGCAAUAGAUCCGAAAACUUAUAAGUCAGCAUCUGCAAAAAAUUAAGAAUUUGCAAAGCCAAAUUCAGGGGACCAGUAAAAAUAUUGAGUGAGAUAAAGAUAUAGACUAAUUGACAAUAAACCAGGACAGCGACACACAUCUUUUCUAAUUUAUUACAUUGUAAAGUAUGAUUGACUCGCUCGAAAACCUUUAAAGAGUCCAAAUAUAGAGAAUCAAUCUGUAUAUGCUGUUAGUAAUUAAUCUUUCAUGUUGAGAAUCAGAUGCGUUAAGGUAGAUCUAUCCCCCUUGACCCCUUAAAAAACUUCAUAUGUUUAUUGAUUACAUGCCUAAAUCGAAUGUUUCUGCGCAUAUGCACAUAGCUGUAUACUAUGACAAAUCAUUGACUUUAGAAGACAUAUGAACUAAAAUUGAAUGAAAAAUGAAGUGGGAUGGCCAUUGUAGAUUGACGGGAAAAACAGGUUUUUUGCAAACCUUUAAGAAAGAGAAAAUAUUUGGUUAUGUCAAUUUUUCUGGAAGAUCAGCAUUAGUAGCGACUCUUUCUAUGUUCUGUUGUUAUUGUUUAAAAAAUACAAACUAUCGAAAAUCCUGAUUAUCUAAUUCUUUGGUGAUCUACAAUCUUAAUCCUGUAGUCAAUGUUAACAAAAAUCAUGUUUUACGUCUGUUUUUGCAGCAACAUUUGAGUUUGGCAUUUGCAUAACCUUGAUACUUCAAGACCAAACUCAAGAAUACUAUAAAUUAUAGAAUAUACAGCGCUAGAAAACUAAAUUAGACUCAUUCAGCAUAAGAAUUAAAAGAUUAAGCUCAGUAGCACAUUUGGAGAUUUUAUAGAGGUUAUAGUGGGAAAUAAACUAAAAUUUCUUGAAAGCCAUUAUUAUAUACAGAUUACCCAUCGAAUCCUUGGUCAAUUUGAAGACAAAAUGUUUAUAUGAACAUGGGUUCCUAAUGGCCGAGCACGAGCACUACGACCAAAGAAAUGCAAGUAACGUUCUAAGUACGUGCAGACUAAUUAAACGUAUUUAUUGAACAGUUGGUAUAACCUAUGAUCAAUAUUCCAUGUUUUAUAAGUUGCUGAGGCUCAAUAUGAAGGUGGAUGUAAACAAAGCAUAUUUAUAUGAACAUUUCGUCGGUAAAAGUUUCGAUUCAAGGAUUCGAUGGGUAAAAGUUUGUCUACCUACUUUAUUAACACCCUAUAUAAUAUUUUGUAUACCUUUUCAUGGAACUGGCCAAGCUUGUUAUUUUUAUAGGGAUUUAAGAAAUACUAUCUGGCCAAGCAACAAGAUGGUGAGGCGUAUAUUAAGCGAACGCAUGACACAACCCAGUAAAAAUGUUAAUGACCACCUCGUCGCUGUUUCGCUGCUGAGGAUUUGAUAAUUACGAAGAAAAAAAGAGAUUAAAGUCCGGCGAAAUAUCGCCUAAUGAUACUGCCGGAGUUGUUCUUGUGUCACACUCAGGUCAAUACACGGCUAGAUGUAAAGUAAUUGGACGGUUUACGAAUUUAAUCGGAGUUUCUAUAAUAAAAGACCAAUUACCACCUCACGUCGCCGGCCCCUGAGCCUUUCAAAAGGCUUAAGAAGGAAGAGUCUACUCCGUGAUCAGCAAACGACACGGGAAAGUGUUGGAGGCGGUCGGAAUGGACGAAAAAGAAAAAGCGUUUCUUGUGCAAGCCCAAAUUCCCGUCAUCGAGAGUGAAGGAUUUGCUGGGG